rnacentral:lncRNA from 1 species
GUGAAUGGUGUUUGUUAGGGAGAAUGUCCGCUGCGGUCCUCACUCCCCUGUCCCAGAGGUCAGUCUCCUGCAGUUCAUCCUAAUACAAGGUCAUUCACUCUGAGGAAAGCCAGGAGCCAUGUUGUGUGAACACCCAGGAAGCUUGUGGAGAGGUCCUUGUGGAAAGAAAUAGAGUUUUUGGCUGAUGACCAACCAGGAGUAUACAGAUUAAAAUAAGACUGGUUGUGGAGAAAAGAAGAGAGAGACAGUUAAGGGGACAAGAAGUUCAUGUUACAAGGACAAGCACGUCUUUCAGUGAGCCUUGCUAAACCAUGCAUCCUGCUGGAGAUCUGGAGAAAGCCAGGUUAUGGGUCAGCCACAGGCUCCAGAGGGAAGAUAUGCCCACAAGAGGGCCCCAGAACUCAGCACACAUCUGCUGCAAGAUGGGAGCUGCAGGCAGGAACGUGGAGGCAUCAGAGCCAGGACGCAUUUAAUAAGCAGUGUGACAAGGAAUAAAAUAACUAUUAAUAAGGUACUUUGCAGACUUGAUUCCAGCCCCAUUAAACUUUCCUUUACCUUAUUUCACACUCCAUUUCCAAAGUACCCUCUUCUCACCCCCCACCUUUAAUGGUUCUGGCAAACUUGGGUCCUAAUGAAGUCUGGCAGCAUAAAUUUAAGGCAGUGUCUGGCUGAACUGAACAGAA